rnacentral:misc_RNA from 1 species
GAUGAAGAACGUAGCGAAAUGCGAUAAGUAAUGUGAAUUGCAGAAUUCAGUGAAUCAUCGAAUCUUUGAACGCACCUUGCGCUCCUUGGUAUUCCGAGGAGCAUGCCUGUUUGAGUGUCAUUAAAUUCUCAACCAUUAUCAACUUUUGCUGAUAAUGGCUUGGAUGUGGGGGUCUAUUUUGCUGGCUUCUCAGAUAGUCAGCUCCCCUUAAAUGCAUUAGCCGGUGCCCCGCGUGGACUGUCUAUUGGUGUGAUAAUUAUCUACGCUAUAGACAUCUGCAAUCAUAUGGGUUUGCGCUGCUUCUAACGGUCUGUUGAUUCAGACAAUACAUGACAAUUUGACCUCAAAUCAGGUAGGACUACCCGCUGAGCUUAAGCAUAUCAAUAAGCGGAGGA